GGCUAACUCCGUGCCAGCAGCCGCGGUAAUACGGAGGAUCCAAGCGUUAUCCGGAUUCAUUGGGUUUAAAGGGUCCGUAGGCGGGUCUUUAAGUCAGUGGUGAAAGCCGGCAGCUCAACUGUCGAACUGCCAUUGAUACUGGAGACCUUGAGUACAAAUGAAGUAGGCGGAAUGAGUCAUGUAGCGGUGAAAUGCAUAGAUAUGACUCAGAACACCGAUUGCGAAGGCAGCUUACUAACAUGUAACUGACGCUGAGGGACGAAAGCGUGGGGAGCGAACAGGAUUAGAUACCCUGGUAGUCCACGCCGUAAACGAUCAUCACUCGCUGUUGGCGAUAUACUGUCAGCGGCCAAGCGAAAGUA
rnacentral:rRNA from 1 species